GACUUUCCUCUACGAUAUAUUUUAUCAUUAGAUCAUAGUUUAUUUCGCAAUUUUGCCUAAUUUACUUUUCAACUUGACAAAUAUCACCAAAUCAUUUCUACCGAGCCAAUAAAUGAAGAAAUGAUAUAAUCUAGCGCACCUACAAAUUUAUCUGUUAGGUACAUACUCACGCAAAUCCUACGGUCUUACCAUCGAUAAUCGCUGCAGACAGGAUUUUCGGAGCUUAUCUCGAGCGAACUAAUUUCCGAUUCGCGCGUCGCAUAUUAUACAAUGUAUCGCAUAUUUAUUAUAUAAGCGUGCGGCGUGGCAUUUACCGACUUCUCACUUUCCCGUCCAUCCCGACGUACGCGAGAUCCCUCCUUCUUCGGCGGGCAACACUGUUGCAGUCGGUGCAAGGCGCGCGCGGCGCGCACGCACGUCGAGAAAAUAAAACACCGCCACUGCCCCGGGAGCGCAUUUCACGAUACGCCGCUCUGCCCGAGAAAGGGAUCGACCACACGGCGGGUUGGACAAAGAUGAAGAACCCGGGUUCGGUGGGAACCCAAGAAGUUGCUGCCGGUCCCGCUGCCGUUGCCGCUCCUAGCGAUGGGAACCAAUCGCGCUCGACCACUCGACUCCUAGGUUUUUUUUAACUGCAAGUUUGAAACGGCAGGAUGCCCAAAAAAUGCCUAGUAAUGCCCAGUAAUGCCGCAAAUCUGUACACCACAAUGCCCUCAGCGGUUUACCCCUCGACUUUCAUUGUUUCUUCAAGGAAACUGUCAAGGAUCCGCGCCGAAGUGCCCGAGACACUCUUCAGUAGCUUCGAUAAGAAGACGAUAACAAUAAUUGUUGAAAUGUCAGUUUAAUAUUUUCGUAUUAGCCAAUGUAUUAAUUUAAUACAUUUAACGUGUUAACAAGUA